UACGUAGGUGGCGAGCGUUAUCCUGAAUUAUUGGGCGUAAAGAGCGCGCAGGUGGUUGAUUAAGUCUGAUGUGAAAGCCCACGGCUUAACCGUGGAGGGUCAUUGGAAACUGGUCGACUUGAGUGCAGAAGAGGGAAGUGGAAUUCCAUGUGUAGCGGUGAAAUGCGUAGAGAUAUGGAGGAACACCAGUGGCGAAGGCGGCUUCCUGGUCUGUAACUGACACUGAGGCGCGAAAGCGUGGGGAGCAAACAGGAUUAGA
rnacentral:rRNA from 1 species